rnacentral:sRNA from 1 species
CGGUGCCCCGAGCCGAAUCGCCGGCCUUCAACGUCGGCGAACGGGGGACCCACCGAGAGGAAGGGCCUCCACCCUUCAGCUUCGGGGCAAAUCCACCGCAUCCGGUGGAAGCGCUGCUCUUUCUGCGCUCGCCCGUCAGCUAACCCCGUAGGCCGACGAAAGAGAGCAG